rnacentral:rRNA from 1 species
AACGAACGCUGGCGGCAUGCCUAACACAUGCAAGUCGAACGAGACCUUCGGGUCUAGUGGCGCACGGGUGCGUAACGCGUGGGAACCUGCCCUUAGGUUCGGAAUAACUCCCCGAAAGGGGUGCUAAUACCAGAUAAUGUCUUCGGACCAAAGAUUUAUCGCCUUUGGAUGGGCCCGCGUUGGAUUAGCUAGUUGGUAGGGUAAAAGCCUACCAAGGCGACGAUCCAUAGCUGGUCUGAGAGGAUGAUCAGCCACACUGGGACUGUGACACGGCCCAGACUCCUACGGGAGGCAGCAGUGGGGAAUAUUGGACAAUGGGCGAAAGCCUGAUCCAGCAAUGCCGCGUGAGUGAUGAAGGCCUUAGGGUUGUAAAGCUCUUUUACCCGGGAUGAUAAUGACAGUACCGGGAGAAUAAGCUCCGGCUAACUCCGUG